rnacentral:rRNA from 1 species
UACGAAGGGGGCUAGCGUUGUUCGGAAUUACUGGGCGUAAAGCGCACGUAGGCGGACUACUAAGUCAGGGGUGAAAUCCCGGGGCUCAACCCCGGAACUGCCUUUGAUACUGAUAGUCUCGAGUCCGGAAGAGGUGAGUGGAAUUCCGAGUGUAGAGGUGAAAUUCGUAGAUAUUGGGAAGAACACCGGUGGCGAAGGCGGCUCUCUGGACCACAACUGACGCUGAGGCGCGAAAGCGUGGGGAGCAAACAGG